rnacentral:rRNA from 1 species
CAGUAGCCGCGGUAAUACGGAGGAUCCAAGCGUUAUCCGGAAUCAUUGGGUUUAAAGGGUCCGUAGGCGGUCUUGUAAGUCAGUGGUGAAAGCCCAUCGCUCAACGGUGGAACGGCCAUUGAUACUGCAGGACUUGAAUUAUUGGGAAGUAACUAGAAUAUGUAGUGUAGCGGUGAAAUGCUUAGAGAUUACAUGGAAUACCAAUUGCGAAGGCAGGUUACUACCAAUUGAUUGACGCUGAUGGACGAAAGCGUGGGUAGCGAACAGGAUUAGAGACCCCCGUAGUCCCUGUCUCUUAUAC